UUACGGUCACUUCAGGUUGAAACACUGAUUCUCGUAAGAUCACUAAAGUUAAGCAACGUCAAGCUUAGUCAGUAGAUGGGUGACCGCUUGGGAAUGGCAGGUGCUGUAAG